rnacentral:rRNA from 1 species
GUGGGGAAUAUUGGGCAAUGGGGGCAACCCUGACCCAGCGACGCCGCGUGAGGGAAGAAGGCCUUAGGGUCGUAAACCUCUGUUGUGUGGGAAGAAGGAAGUGACGGUACCACACGAGGAAGUCCCGGCUAACUACGUGCCAGCAGCCGCGGUAAUACGUAGGGGACGAGCGUUGUCCGGAAUUACUGGGCGUAAAGGGCGCGUAGGCGGUCAUUUAAGUCAGCUGUGAAAUGGUCCGGCUCAACCGGAUCAUGCGGUUGAAACUGGAUGACUGGAGUGCUGGGGAGGCAAGUGGAAUUCCCAGUGUAGCGGUGAAAUGCGUAGAUAUUGGGAAGAACACCGGUGGCGAAGGCGACUUGCUGGCCAGCAACUGACGCUGAGGCGCGAAAGCCAGGGGAGCAAACGGGAUUAGAAACCCUUGUAGUCC